rnacentral:rRNA from 1 species
UACGUAGGGCGCAAGCGUUGUCCGGAAUUAUUGGGCGUAAAGAGCUCGUAGGCGGCCUGUUACGUCUGCUGUGAAAUCCCGGGGCUUAACCCCGGGCGUGCAGUGGAUACGGGCAGGCUGGAGGCAGGCAGGGGAGAACGGAAUUCCCGGUGUAGCGGUGGAAUGCGCAGAUAUCGGGAAGAACACUCGUGGCGAAGGCGGCACUCUGGGACGGUACUGACGCUGAGACGCGAAAGCGUGGGGAGCGAACAGG